rnacentral:tRNA from 1 species
GAGAUGUUAGUAUAACAAAUACAUAGCCUUGUCAAGACUAUACUACAAGUGAAACCCUUGUACAUCUCU